GACGCUGGCGGCGCGCUUAACACAUGCAAGUCGAGCGAGAACCAGGACUUCGGUCCUGGGGACAGCGGCGAACGGGUGAGUAACACGUGGGUAAUCUGCCCUCGGUUCCGGAAUAGCCCGGGGAAACCCGGAUUAAUGCCGGAUAGCCUCUCGAGCUCUCGAGCUCGCGAGAAAAGGUAGCUUCGGCCUCCGACCGAGGAUGAGCCCGCGGCGGAUUAGCUUGUUGGUGGGGUAACGGCCUACCAAGGCGACGAUCCGUAGCUGGUCUGAGAGGACGAUCAGCCACACUGGGACUGAGACACGGCCCAGACUCCUACGGGAGGCAGCAGUGGGGAAUCUUGCGCAAUGGGCGAAAGCCUGACGCAGCGACGCCGCGUGGGGGAAGAAGGCCUUCGGGUUGUAAACCUCUUUCAGGAGGGACGAAGCCACUCGGGUGAAUAGCCCAGAGGGUGACGGUACCUCCAGAAGAAGCCCCGGCUAACUACGUGCCAGCCGCCGCAGUAAAAC
rnacentral:rRNA from 1 species